rnacentral:tRNA from 2 species
UCUAAUGUGACAGAAUUAAUGUAAUGAAGUUAAGAUUCAUCCAUAAAUAUAAUUAUUUCUUUAGAA